UACGAAGGGGGCUAGCGUUGUUCGGAAUUACUGGGCGUAAAGCGCGUGUAGGCGGGUCUUUAAGCCAGGGGUGAAAUGCCAAGGCUCAACCUUGGAACUGCCUUUGAUACUGGAGAUCUUGAGUCCGGGAGAGGUGAGUGGAACUGCGAGUGUAGAGGUGAAAUUCGUAGAUAUUCGCAAGAACACCAGUGGCGAAGGCGGCUCACUGGCCCGGUACUGACGCUGAGGUGCGAAAGCGUGGGGAGCAAACAGG
rnacentral:rRNA from 1 species